UACGAGGGGUCCUAGCGUUGUUCGGAAUCAUUGGGCGUAAAGGGCGCGUAGGCGGUCAGCACAAGUCAGUUGUGAAAUCUCCGGGCUUAACUCGGAAAGGUCAACUGAUACUGUGCGACUAGAGUGCAGAAGGGGCAACUGGAAUUCUCGGUGUAGCGGUGAAAUGCGUAGAUAUCGAGAGGAACACCUGCGGCGAAGGCGGGUUGCUGGGCUGACACUGACGCUGAUGCGCGAAAGCCAGGGGAGCGAACGGG
rnacentral:rRNA from 1 species